rnacentral:tRNA from 1 species
ACCGAUAUAGUAAAUUCAACUAAUUUCAUUUGAGUAGUGGAACAUCUGGAUAUCAAAUGUGGGAUCGGUC